AGAGAGAGACAUGGCGCGCAUAUCAAUAAGCGGAGGAAAAGAAACUAACAAGGAUUCCCCUAGUAACGGCGAGUGAAGCGGGAAGAGCUCAAAUUUGAAAUCUUAAAGGGUUUCCCUUUACGAAUUGUAGUUUAAAGAAGUGUUUUCUGUUGAGGUUUUGGUAAAAGUUCUUUGGAAUAGGACAUCAUAGAGGGUGAGAAUCCCGUAUUUGACCUUUACUUUCAACUUUGUGAUACACUUUCAAAGAGUCGGAUUGUUUGGGAAUGCAGUCCAAAAUGGGUGGUAAAUUUCAUCUAAAGCUAAAUAUUGGCGAGAGGACCGAUAGCGAACAAGUACCGUGAGGGAAAGAUGAAAAGAACUUUGAAAAGAGAGUUAAACAGUACGUGAAAUUGUCAAAAGGGAAGCGUUUGACACCAGUGUUGUUUUUCUGAAAAUCAAUUAAAGAACUGUUUAUGCUAAGUUGUUUAGACUUUAUCAGCUAACUGUUUAGUUUUGAGCUUUUCUUUAAUGCACUUUUCAGUUAACAAGUCAACAUCAAUUUCUUUUGCUGUAAAAAAGCUUGAGGAAGGUGGCUUGAGAUUCGUCUUAAGUGUUUAUAGCCUCUUGCCUAUGCAGUCGGAGAGAUUGAGGUCUGCAGCGUAGAUCCUUCGGGGCUAAAUGCAUUUGUGCUAAGUUAUAGCAUUUUAUAGACAACUUGUUGACUAUGAUUUGUCUUGUAGCUUACUCGCUUAUGUUAUUUUACCUACGCUUAGGAUGUUGACGCAUGAGAUAUACGC
rnacentral:rRNA from 1 species